rnacentral:tRNA from 1 species
GCGCGAGUAGCUCAAUGGCAGAGCGGCUAUCUUAUACAUAGUUGGCUGCAGGUCCGAAUCCUGCCUCGCGCA